GGGGGGGGGGGGGGGGGGGGGGGGGGGGGGGGGGGGGGGGGGACGGGGGGGGAGCUGGCUGCUCGGGUGGGAGCGGCGGACGGGUGAGGAAGACGGGGAUAACCUACCUAUAAGACUGGGAUAACUUCGGGAAACCGGAGCUAAUACCGGAUAAUAUUUUGAACCGCAUGGUUCAAAAGUGAAAGACGGUCUUGCUGUCACUUAUAGAUGGAUCCGCGCUGCAUUAGCUAGUUGGUAAGGUAACGGCUUACCAAGGCAACGAUGCAUAGCCGACCUGAGAGGGUGAUCGGCCACACUGGAACUGAGACACGGUCCAGACUCCUACGGGAGGCAGCAGUAGGGAAUCUUCCGCAAUGGGCGAAAGCCUGACGGAGCAACGCCGCGUGAGUGAUGAAGGUCUUCGGAUCGUAAAACUCUGUUAUUAGGGAAGAACAUAUGUGUAAGUAACUGUGCACAUCUUGACGGUACCUAAUCAGAAAGCCACGGCUAACUACGUG
rnacentral:rRNA from 1 species